GGCAGAAAUGACUGGCAGAAUCCGAGACCAGGGAGAAGAGUCGGUGAAAGAAGAUUGGAAGAAAUUUAAAGAUUAUUUACAGAAAUAUUGUAAAAUUAAGGAAUCUUAGAAGGAUGUUGGAUAGAAACUAAGUGGUUUCCAGCUGUAAUGCUUUAAGAGAUAUGAAAAAAGGUUUACAAAUGGGUAAAGCUUAAUGGUAAGGAUUUGCUGAACU